AUGGCCGAAUGCUUCAAUAGGGUGCUCAAAGGUGCACGUGGAUUACCCGUGACGGCAAUAGUUCAAUACACAUUUGACAAGAUGAAUGCGUACUUUGUAAAGUACUCGAUGGAAACCGAUGCACAGAUAGCGAACCCACGGAAGUACAAGUACAAGUUCCCACCCAAAAUUGAUGAAUGGUUGGUAUUUCAAUCAUAGAAGGCGGACUCGGAAGAAGCUAUAUUAUAUGACAACGAAGAGUGGAAGUAUGAAGUGAAAGAGCCAGGAGGAACCACAAACGAUGGCCGGCAACAUGGAGGUCGGGCUUUCAAGGUGUCGUUAACACAAUGUGAUUGCACUUGCGGGAGGCCAUUGUUGCUUCAUCUCCCAUGCUCACACUUGUAUACCGCCGGUCGCGUUAGGAAUGUGGACAUCAAUCACCCACGCACCGUGAGGGAGUCGGAGUUCUCAAUCAUGAUGCUCAAGAAAACAUGGGCUCCCCGCUUUCACCCAUACUUUGACCAAUCACAAUGGCCGGAGUAUCAUGGAGUUCAACUAUGGCCGGAUCCG
rnacentral:rRNA from 1 species